rnacentral:rRNA from 1 species
GGAGUUAGCCGGUGCUUCUUCUGUGAGUGAUGUCCUUCCUGCCGGCUAUUAACCCGCAGGCCUUCUUCCUCACUGAAAGUGCUUUACAACCCGAAGGCCUUCUUCACACACGCGGCAUGGCUGGAUCAGGGUUCGCCCCCAUUGUCCAAUACUUCCCCACUGCUGCCUCCCGUAGGAGUCUGGGCCGUGUCUCAGUCCCAGUGUGGCUGAUCAUCCUCUCAGACCAGCUACGGAUCGUCGCCUUGGUGAGCCGUUACCUCACCAACCAGCUAAUCCGACAUAGGCUCAUCCGAUAGCGCGAGGCCCGAAGGUCCCCCGCUUUCCCCCGUAGGGCGUAUGCGGUAUUAGCCUGGGUUUCCCCAGGUUAUCCCCCACUACCGGGCAGAUUCCUAUGCAUUACUCACCCGUCCGCCGCUCGCCACCAGGGAGCAAGCUCCCCGUGCUGCCGCUCGACUUGCAUGUGUUAGGCCUGCCGCCAGCGUUCAAUCUGAGCCAUGAUCAAACUCUGA